rnacentral:rRNA from 1 species
GACGAACGCUGGCGGCGUGCUUAACACAUGCAAGUCGAACGGAAAGGCCCUGCUUUUGUGGGGUGCUCGAGUGGCGAACGGGUGAGUAACACGUGAGUAACCUGCCCUUGACUUUGGGAUAACUUCAGGAAACUGGGGCUAAUACCGGAUAGGAGCUCCUGCUGCAUGGUGGGGGUUGGAAAGUUUCGGCGGUUGGGGAUGGACUCGCGGCUUAUCAGCUUGUUGGUGGGGUAGUGGCUUACCAAGGCUUUGACGGGUAGCCGGCCUGAGAGGGUGACCGGCCACAUUGGGACUGAGAUACGGCCCAGACUCCUACGGGAGGCAGCAGUGGGGAAUAUUGCACAAUGGGCGGAAGCCUGAUGCAGCAACGCCGCGUGCGGGAUGACGGCCUUCGGGUUGUAAACCGCUUUCGCCUGUGACGAAGCGUGAGUGACGGUAGUGGGUAAAGAAGCACCAGCUAACUACGUG